rnacentral:misc_RNA from 1 species
UGUCUCCUUUCCAAGUUCCUCGCCAGGCUGCAGACAGUGGUCCAGAUCUAUUCGUACCACCCACAGAUCUGUCAGGGAUAUUGGUUAUGAUCACCCGAGACAUCCCUGACGAGAAGAAGCUGACGGAAUGGCGGAGGAACAGCCCAGAACUUUCCUGGUGAGAGCGGAGGAGACUGAGUCCAACCCUUGGUCCUCGUCCUGGGAGAUGGAAACAGAACAGAGUAGAGGUUUUCUGGGUUCGGGUGAGGUACGGUGUGACGUCAUGUCACGUGGGCGUUACGCUAGCCGUGAAGGCCGACCUUGGUAACCUUAACAUGUUGCUGGCUGAUGGGGCUCUGGUGAAGCUGUGGCAGGCAGAAAGACCUGACAGUGGAUGGAUAGAACACUUUACUUUCAUCAUAAUGUAUGUGUGUCUGGAGAAAGGUUCCGUAAGACGCAUUUGCUCGAACUAUGUAUAAACAGAACAUCAAUAUAUUAAAACUAAAGAUU